UGAAUUAAUUCAACAAACAUUUUCUGGAGCACCGACAAUCUGCCCAGUGCACCAGGCUAGGUAUCUGAUACAAAGAUAAUGAAAACAGUCUCUUGGAACCUAAUUGGGGUCCUCAUUUGACCAGGAAUUUCUUUCGUCCCCUUUUAAGCCAACCAGUUUUGUCCGGACAAGACAAAAACAACUUGGGCUGCUUUAGAGAAGCCCAGCUCAGUGUAGACAAUAGCUGCCCAGCCUCUGAAAGGGGCUGAUUGGAUUAUGUGGCAAAUGGAGGUGCAAGGAUGACUUGGACGGUGACAAAUGAAGUGGGCGGAGACCUGCUUUGAGUUAAUCCAGGCUAUUAGGAGGGGACCUUUUGUCUUCCAGAGACUGGCAGGAGCUUUUACCAGUGGUUUUUACAUCCUUAAUGCUCAGGACGAAUAAUUUAUGGUCAGUGAAAAUCGAGGCCCCAGUGAGAUUCGAGUGGGCUGUAAAAUCGAGAGUCCUGCUCCCAGUGAGUAAUGGUAGUGAAUGUUUCUGUCACUUUUUGCAACCGUCCAUUCAUUUGAUCCUCACAACUCCCUGUCCUGAGCCAGGGCCGGCCACUGCCACUCCCAGGGAAACAGAGGCUGUCAAGAGGCUCCACAGAUUGGGCCCCACUGGAUCAUUGAACCCCUGUUCCCUGAGUUCUAGAGGAAGAAUUGUACCUGUCUCAGUCCCGGCCACCUCCAGAAGGCCUCCCUCUGCAUUUCUGACUUUGCUGUGCCGGCAGCCUGGAGCCUCCCAGGUCCCUGCUGUCAUCUUUUCUAGCCACUACAGUCUCUGUCUUUCCUUUCACAGCCAAGCUUCUUGAAAGGCCUGUCUACACUUGCUGUCUUCCUUCCUCACCUCCAAUUUCCUCUUCAACCCACUGCUUCCUGACUCGCUCUACUCCGUGGAAGCACGCUCACAAAGGGCUAAUCUCGGGCCUUGUUGAAGGAAGAGGCUGCAGACGUUAAUGAGGUUAGCUGCUGGAUUCCAGUAUUCGUCGCAUAAGGAUCCUUCUUUGUCUGCGAAGGAAAAACACACUGAUUAUCAUAAUGAGUUCCUGACCUGGCCCUCCCGGGGUGCCCUUGGCCAGCCCCGUGCCUCCUCAGGGUGUCCCAGCACCAGCCUGGCACAGAGUGGGGCUCAGUUAGAGUAUGUGGGAUGUUGGUUUCGCCAGGCACGUGGGCCGUGGCCCGGCUGGGUCGGCUGAAGAACUGCGGAUGGAAGCUGCGGAAGAGGCCCUGAUGGGGCCCACCAUCCCGGACCCAAGUCUUCUUCCUGGCGGGCCUCUCGUCUCCUUCCUGGUUUGGGCGGAAGCCAUCACCUGGAUGCCUACGUGGGAAGGGACCUCGAAUGUGGGACCCCAGCCCCUCUCCAGCUCGAAAUCCCUCCACAGCCACGGGGACGCCCUGCACCUAUUCCCACGGGACAGGCUGGACCCAGAGACUCUGGACCCGGGGCCUCCCCUUGAGUAGAGACCCGCCCUCUGACUGAUGGACGCCGCUGACCUGGGGUCAGACCCGUGGGCUGGACCCCUGCCCACCCCGCAGGAACCCUGAGGCCUAGGGGAGCUGUUGAGCCUUCGGUGUCUGCAUGUGGGAAGUGGGCUCCUUCACCUACCUCACAGGGCUGUUGUGAGGGGCGCUGUGAUGCGGUUCCAAAGCACAGGGCUUGGCGCACCCCACUGUGCUCUCAAUAAAUGUGUUUCCUGUCUUAAC
rnacentral:lncRNA from 1 species